rnacentral:rRNA from 1 species
AAACUUUCAACAACGGAUCUCUUGGUUCCGGCAUCGAUGAAGAACGCAGCGAAAUGCGAUAAGUAAUGUGAAUUGCAGAAUUCCGUGAAUCAUCGAAUCUUUGAACGCACAUUGCGCCCCCUGGUAUUCCGGGGGGCAUGCCUGUUCGAGCGUCAUUGCAACCCUCAAGCCCGGCUU